GUCAGAAUGGCCGAGCGGUCUAAGGCCCAGACUCAAGUUCUGGUCCACGGAUGUGGGCGUGGGUUCGAAUCCACUUCACAUGGACA